AAAGUCGUAACAAGGUCUCCGUUGGUGAACCAGCGGAGGGAUCAUUACCGAGUUUACAACUCACAACCCACUGUGAACAUACCUAUGUUGCUUCGGCGGUCACGGCUCCGGCCCGCCGCCGAAGACCCAAACUCUUGUUUUCCAUGUGUCUACUCUGAGUAUUCUUGAAAUAAAUCAAAACCUUCAACAACGGAUCUCUUGGCUCUG
rnacentral:misc_RNA from 1 species